rnacentral:rRNA from 1 species
UACGGGGGGAGCAAGCGUUGUUCGGAUUUACUGGGCGUAAAGGGCGCGUAGGCGGCCAGCACAAGUCAGUUGUGAAAUCUCCGAGCUUAACUCGGAAAGGUCAACUGAUACUGCGCGGCUAGAGUGCAGAAGGGGCAACUGGAAUUCUCGGUGUAGCGGUGAAAUGCGUAGAUAUCGAGAGGAACACCUGCGGCGAAGGCGGGUUGCUGGGCUGACACUGACGCUGAGGCGCGAAAGCCAGGGGAGCGAACGGG